rnacentral:rRNA from 1 species
UACGUAGGGUGCGAGCGUUAAUCGGAAUUACUGGGCGUAAAGCGUGCGCAGGCGGUUUUGUAAGCCAGAUGUGAAAUCCCCGGGCUUAACCUGGGAAUGGCAUUUGGGACUGCAAGGCUGGAGUGUGGCAGAGGAGACUGGAAUUCCCGGUGUAGCAGUGAAAUGCGUAGAUAUCGGGAGGAACACCUAUGGCGGAAGGCAGCUCGCUGGGACGUUACUGACGCUGAGACGCGAAAGCGUGGGGAGCAAACAGG